UCAGCCACACUGGAACUGAAACACGGUCCAGACUCCUACGGGAGGCAGCAGUGGGGAAUCUUGCGCAAUCGACGAAAGUCUGACGCAGCCACGCCGCGUGAGUGAAGAAGGCCUUAGGGUUGUAAAGCUCUGUCGCCCGGGACGAAAAUCAUAUGAGUGAAUAGCUCAUGUGACUGACGGUACCGGGAAAGGAAGCACCGGCUAACUCCGUGCCAGCAGCCGCGGUAAUACGGAGGGUGCAAGCGUUGCUCGGAAUUAUUGGGCGUAAAGGGUAGGUAGGUGGUCUCAUUUGUCUGGGGUGAAAGCCUUGAGCUUAACUCAAGAAGUGCCCCAGAAACGGUGAGACUAGAGUCCUGGAGAGGGUCGUGGAAUUCCCGGUGUAGCGGUGAAAUGCGUAGAGAUCGGGAGGAACACCAGAGGCGAAGGCGGCGACCUGGACAGGCACUGACACUCAACUACGAAAGCGUGGGGAGCAAACAGGAUUAGAUACCCUGGUAGUCCACGCUGUAAACGAUGGGUACUAGAUUUGGUGGGUCUUGACCCCUGCCGAAUCGGAGCUAACGCACUAAGUACCCCGCCUGGGAAGUACGGUCGCAAGACUAAAACUCAAAGGAAUUGACGGGGGCCCGCACAAGCGGUGGAUCAUGUGGUUUAAUUCGAACCACGCGAAGAACCUUACCUGGAUUUGACAUCCUUUGACAGCUGUAGAGAUACAGUCUCGGUAGCAAUACCGCAAAGAGACAGGUGCUGCAUGGCUGUCGUCAGCUCGUGUGGUGACAUGUUGGGUUAAGUCCCGCAACGAGCGCAACCCUUGUCCUUAGUUGCCAGCAUUAAGUUGGGCUCUCUAAGGAGACUGCCGUGGUUAACACGGAGGAAGGUGGGGAUGACGUCAAGUCCUCAUGGCCUUUAUAUCCAGGGCGACACACGUGAUACAAUGGACGGUACAAAGGGAUGCCAAGUGGCAACACGGAGCUAAUCUCAAAAAGCCGUUCUCAGUUCGGAUUGGAGUCUGCAACUCGACUCCAUGAAGUUGGAAUCGCUAGUAAUCGCGGAUCAGCACGCCGCGGUGAAUACGUUCCCGGGCCUUGUACACACCGCCCGUCACACCAUGGGAGCUGACUCAACCAGAAGACGGUCAGGCUAACCGAAAGGGGGCCUCCGGCGAAGGUGGGGUUGGUGACUGGGGUGAAGUCGUAACAAGGUA
rnacentral:rRNA from 1 species